rnacentral:rRNA from 1 species
AGAGCGAACGCUGGCGGCAGGCCUAACACAUGCAAGUCGAGCGCCCGUAGCAAUACGGGAGCGGCAGACGGGAUAGUAACACGUGGGAACGCGCCCUUCGGUUCGGAAUAACUCAGGGAAACUUGAGCUAAUACCGGAUACGCCCUUACGGGGAAAGAUUUAUUGCCGAAGGAACGGCCCGCGUCCGAUUAGCUAGUUGGUGAGGUAAUGGCUCACCAAGGCGACGAUCGGUAGCUGGUCUGAGAGGAUGACCAGCAUCACUGGGACUGAGACACGGCCCAGACUCCUACGGGAGGCAGCAGUGGGGAAUAUUGGACAAUGGGCGCAAGCCUGAUCCAGCCAUGCCGCGUGGAUGAUGAAGGCCUUAGGGUUGUAAAGUCCGUUUUAACGGGGAAGAUAAUGACGGUACCGUAGAAUAAGCCCCGGCUAACUUCGUGCCAGCAGCCGC